CGACUCUCGGCAACGGAUAUCUCGGCUCACGCAUCGAUGAAGAACGUAGCAAAAUGCGAUACUUGGUGUGAAUUGCAGAAUCCCGUGAACCAUCGAGUUUUUGAACGCAAGUUGCGCCCGAAGCCAUUUGGUCGAGGGCACGUCUGCCUGGGCGUCACG
rnacentral:rRNA from 1 species